rnacentral:lncRNA from 1 species
GUGACACCUCAGAGCUCCUGUUUACCUCUUUAGCCACCAGGAAGACAUUAGGACUCCCAGAGGGUGACUCCAGGGGCAGGUGGCUUGGAGGACUGGCCGUGCAAGGAGGCAGCAAAGGGGCGGCCAUCUGCAAGCUGAGGGCAGAGGCCUUGGAGGAAGCAGCCCUGCCAGUGCUGGUAACUCCUGCAGGUCGGAAGUCCAAACCAAGGUGCUGGAAGGGCUGGUUCCUUCCGGACCCUUCAGGGGAGAAUCUUUCUGCCUCUUUGGCUUCUUGAGGCCCCUUCCUGGCAUUGCUUCUUUCUCCACUGACUCCUACCAUCAGCGCUGAGUCCUGCCUGCCUCUUAUAAGAUCUUCAGAGGCCACCUGGGAUGUCAGAAGCUUCCAGGAACCAGGAGGUAGCUGCAUCUCCUGUCCCUUCCCUGAGUCACCUUGCUGGACUCCACAGUGUGGUGCAGACAAGAAGCUGCAGGGGACAACAUGGAAGGAAGCGGGGAUGGAGGAGAUGGAAUGGGAUGGGCUCUGGGCCCGGCCAAGCAGAGCAGGAUAGGGCUGAGAGUCAUCUGAGCACAGGUGGUUCAAAUGGCAGAGAAGCUCCACGCUGGAGCGGGGAAGAGCUUGGGCUUUCCGGCCAGAAAGCGCAGGUUUUGGCCACGGCUCUUCUGCCACUCACUAGAUGUGGGAGUUUGGAGGCGUUACCCGAGCUCUGAGCCUUACUUUCCUCAUCUGAAAAAUGGGAAUAAUGGUAGGGUUAAAUUAAACCAAAUUUGGUCUGAGGAUGCCUCUGCACUUUGAGUCCAACUGCGACCUUAGCAGCAAAUGAACUGCAGGCCUAGCUUAGGAGUGUACUUUUGUAAGAAAUAGCCGAGUCUUAGCCAAUCACAGCAGCUGAGCUUCUAUAAAUCGCAGGUGGCUGCUGAGUAGUCCAUGUUCAAACACGGCAAACCAAGCUGUGACCAAUGAGCUGUCUCUGCAGCUCACUUCCAUUUUCUGUCUAUAAACACUCCCUGCCCACACUGUGGAGUGGAGCUCAGCCCUUGGAACCUCUUCUGGUCUGAGGGCUGCCCACUUCAUGAAUCCUUUGCUUAAUUAAACUCAAUUCAUUUCAAAUGAAACUCAAUUGAUUGCUAGAUU